rnacentral:rRNA from 1 species
GAUGAACGCUGGCGGCGUGCCUAAUACAUGCAAGUCGAGCGAACAGACGAGGAGCUUGCUCCUCUGACGUUAGCGGUGGACGGGUGAGUAACACGUGGAUAACCUACCUAUAAGACUGGAUAACUUCGGGAAACCGGAGCUAAUACCGGAUAACAUGUUGAACCGCAUGGUUCAACAGUGAAAGACGGUCUUGCUGUCACUUAUAGAUGGAUCCGCGCCGCAUUAGCUAGUUGGUAAGGUAACGGCUUACCAAGGCAACGAUGCGUAGCCGACCUGAGAGGGUGAUCGGCCACACUGGAACUGAGACACGGUCCAGACUCCUACGGGAGGCAGCAGUAGGGAAUCUUCCGCAAUGGGCGAAAGCCUGACGGAGCAACGCCGCGUGAGUGAAGAAGGUCUUCGGAUCGUAAAACUCUGUUAUUAGGGAAGAACAAAUGUGUAGGUAACUAUGCACGUCUUGACGGUACCUAAUCAGAAAGCCACGGCUAACUACGUGCCAGCCGCCGCCGUAA